rnacentral:rRNA from 1 species
CAGUCGCCGCGGGAAUACGAAAGGUGCAAGCGUUACUCGGAAUGACUGGGCGUAAAGGGCGCGUAGGCGGAUGGUACAGUCAGAUGUGAAAUUCCUGGGCUUAACCUGGGGGCUGCAUUUGAUACGUAUUGUCUAGAGUGAGGAAGAGGGUCGUGGAAUUCCCAGUGUAGAGGUGAAAUUCGUAGAUAUUGGGAAGAACACCGGUGGCGAAGGCGGCGACCUGGUCCUUGACUGACGCUGAGGCGCGAAAGCGUGGGGAGCAAACAGGAUUAGAUACCCCCGUAGUCCCUGUCUCUUAUAC